GCUGCGGAGCCGCCAGCGGCUGUGCUGGAGCUCCGGCGUUCCCCUCCCGCAGCUCUCGGUGCCCCGGCACGGAGCCGGGCUCUGCUCCAUCGCACACCGGGUCCUUCCCUUUGCCCCGGCACCGCUCGCCCCUUGUCAGGCUGCGAGCGCUGAAGGCAGAGACAGCCCCGCGCUCUGCCUGUGCGCUGGACCGUGCUCCGCUGGCCGUCACUGCCGGCCCGGGAGAGGGGAGACCGGGCCGGCUCAGCCGGGCAGCGCAGUUUGUGUCUAAUUAAGUUGAAAAGUGUCAUCCUGUCUCUCCUCCUGCCUGCAGCCAGCCCGAGGCCUCGGCCGGGGGCAGCUGACCCUCAUUGCCACGGCUGCCCCGUGGUGCCGGGCAGGAAGCUCCAAUCAUUUUUCCAACCCUUUUUUGUUUGCAGAUAUUUGAGAUUUCCUGCGAACUGCAAGCCCCAGCACAGGGAAUGGAAGGUGACGAGCACCUGGUGUGGUUCUCCCACACGACUGCCAACAGCCAGCAACUCCCUUUGUCUGCCCAGUGCCGCUUUCCUGGGAAGGAAAGUGGCUCUGUGACUGUUGCAUGUGUAUGAGAGAAGGAUGGAAAAUAGCCCAGCACCAGCAGGCACUUCUGUCUUUUGGAGAACAGACCAGUCCUCUCCUCCACCUACCUGAGGCUGGAAACCUGUAACAUUCUGUGGAGAAUGGCCUUACACUACCAAUCUCUACUGCUCCAAAAAAGCAGCUACACUUCCUAGAUCAAUGAAGCCCAUCUUCAAGAAGAGACUUUUCUGUUUAGGAUGCAAUUGAAAAAUUUUUGACAAAAUGCUGAUCCCAUCUGAGUGACCAGGUUUAAUGCAUUCCAGGAGAGGAACAGAUUCAUUUUCAAAGCUGUGGUUCAGGAGGAGAAGGUCAUUAACAGACUGUAGCAAUAGCAGCAUACCUGUGACCUGGACAUGGGUAAACUGACACCCAUGGAAUUGGAAGUCAUCAUGGAGAAAUUCAUGCUUUGUGUGGAGGUCAUGGUUGUCUGAGAGGGUCCCAUCAAAUCAAAAAGAUCCAUAGAAUUGGAAGCAGCUGAAGGCUGGCCUGGAGCUGGCUGUGA